rnacentral:rRNA from 1 species
UCGGGAAUUUUGGGCAAUGGGGGAAACCCUGACCCAGCAACGCCGCGUGAAGGAUGAAGUAUUUCGGUAUGUAAACUUCGAAAGAAUAGGAAGAAUAAAUGACGGUACUAUUUAUAAGGUCCGGCUAACUACGUGCCAGCAGCCGCGGUAAUACGUAGGGACCAAGCGUUGUUCGGAUUUACUGGGCGUAAAGGGCGCGUAGGCGGCAUGACAAGUCACUUGUGAAAUCUCUGGGCUUAACCCAGAACGGCCAAGUGAUACUGUCGCGCUAGAGUGCAGAAGGGGCAAUCGGAAUUCUUGGUGUAGCGGUGAAAUGCGUAGAUAUCAAGAGGAACACCUGAGGUGAAGACGGGUUGCUGGGCUGACACUGACGCUGAGGCGCGAAAGCCAGGGGGAGCAAACGGGAUUAGAUACCCCAGUAGUCCCUGAGCGGGCUGGCAAGGCGCAU